rnacentral:rRNA from 1 species
AGGCGCGGGUCCUCGAAAGGCCCACGCCGAAGGGAAGCCAAAUUUACGCGAGUAGGGUCAUGGCCUUCACUCAGCGGCUUCGCUGCAACUCGUAGUUGUAGUGUGACGAGUUCGAUCCGUCACACCCGAUAGGGGGUGAACUAUGCUCGAUCAGAUCGAAGCCUGGCUAACGCCCGGUGGAGGAUCGUAGCGGUUCUGAUAUGCAAUUCGAUCGCGUGAGUUGAGCAUAGGGGCGAAAGACCAAUCGAACCCCCUGGUAGCUGGUUCCUUCCGAAUGGUCUCUCAGGACUGCUGACGUACGCAAAAUCGGACUCGGUCGUCGUAGAGCAACGAAUCGGGUUACCGGGACGCAACCGUCGCCGCACCCUUCUCGAACUGCAAAGACGAUCGGCUGCGGGCCUCGUUCACUUCGAGGCUCGUCACGGACCGGAAGACGUCAAGUCGGCGCUGGCCGGUAAGCGGCUAGCGUUAUGCGGGAUCAACCGCCAGCCGGUGUGAGGUGCCAGGAAGCAGGCAUCAUCCACGGAGUGUGUAAAAACUCACCGAUCGAAUCGUGCGGCCUCGAAAAUUGAUGGCGCUUUUAUCGGUCGACCGACCGCCGGCCGCCGAGGACGACGUCUAGCUGCACUCCGCAGCAAAAGGUGCACUGUCCUCGGCGGGUAGGAAGGCGACGCGAUGAGCCUUGAAGCUCGUCCUCGAGGACGGGUGGAGCCGUCGCGUGUGCUUAUCAUGGUUGCAGUAGCUUGAACUUCGGUCGAACCCGGAGGGCCGUAGUGGAGAAGGUUUCCUGUCGAUCGGCGAACGAGACAGGGUAAGUCGCUCCCGAGCAGACGACGAAGGUCGUUAGACAGUGCCCGACAACGGGCGAGCUGCGAAAGGGAAGCCGGCGAAAAUUCCGGCACCGCGUCAAGCCGUGUUCGACGUCUCGUGGAACGUUCGCUGCCGCAAGGUUGGCGUGCGUGCCGGGCGUCGAACGUACCGACGGCAACGUGACUGGUUCGAAGACGCUCAGCACGGCAUCGGCAUCGGUUCUCUUCCGAUGUUAAGGUGACGACGCGACGGAGUCGGUUCGCCCGGAGAUGUCGCGCGCGUCGGCGAAAAGGGUGGCAAGAACUGCGACCUUCGGUAGCCGUGCUGGGCCCGUGAAAAUUCGAACGAGCGGAUUACGAGCUUGACGCGAGCGUACCCAGAACCGCAUCAGGUCUCCGAGGUGAGAAGGCGCCACAGCACAGCGCCGGGGCUCGACAGAGCGGCCUAGCGAUCUCGAAACGGCGCCCGGUCUCGGUCGUUCGAGUGACGGAAAAGUUACCACAGGGAUAACUGGCUUGUGGCAGCCUAGUGGCCUAAAUGACGCUGCUUUUUGAUCCUUCGAUGUCGGCUCUUCCUAUCCAGGCAGUGCAAAAGUUGCCAAAGGUAAGACUGUUCGUCUGCUAACAGGGAACGUGAGCUGGGUUUAGACCGUCGUGAGACAGGUUAGUUUUAUCCUACUGUGAGUGGUCGUCCCGAUGGUAGGAUCGUUUAGUACGACAGGAACGACGAUUCAUUGCCUAUCGCAAUGGAGUCGGUCGAGAGACCGAUGCUCCGAAGCGACGCAAUUCGGAUAAGGACUGAUGGCCUCUAAAGUUCGAAGCCGUGCCAAGUGAGCGGACGACAGUGCGGGUAGACUGCUGCGACGUGAGUUUUCGUUUUGCCAGCCUCGCCGCCGUGCGAAAAAGGCCUCCUCUUUGGGGAGCAGCCUAGGGCAACAGGUGCCGCGUGUACCGACGAUGCUCCGUCGAAAGAUCACCAGUAAACGACUGGGGAGUCUCGGUACUGUAAGG